UACGUAGGGUGCAAGCGUUGUCCGGAAUUAUUGGGCGUAAAGAGCUCGUAGGCGGCUUGUCACGUCGAUUGUGAAAGCCCGAGGCUUAACCUCGGGUCUGCAGUCGAUACGGGCUAGCUAGAGUGUGGUAGGGGAGAUCGGAAUUCCUGGUGUAGCGGUGAAAUGCGCAGAUAUCAGGAGGAACACCGGUGGCGAAGGCGGAUCUCUGGGCCAUUACUGACGCUGAGGAGCGAAGCGUGGGGAGCGAACAGG
rnacentral:rRNA from 1 species